GAUGAAGAACGCAGUGAAAUGCGAUAAGUAGUGUGAAUUGCAGAAUUCAGUGAAUCAUCGAAUCUUUGAACGCACAUUGCGCCCCUUGGUAUUCCAUGGGGCAUGCCUGUUCGAGCGUCAUUUGUACCUUCAAGCUCUGCUUGGUGUUGGGUGUUUGUCUCGCCUCUGUGUGUAGACUCGCCUCAAAACAAUUGGCAGCCGGCGUAUUGAUUUCGGAGCGCAGUACAUCUCGCGCUUUGCACUCAUAACGACGACGUCCAAAAGUACAUUUUUACACUCUUGACCUCGUAUCAGGUAGGGAUACCCGCUGAACUUAAGCAUAUCAAUAAGCGGAGGA
rnacentral:misc_RNA from 1 species